CUAAAAAAAAAGAAACCUCACGAUCGAGGCUGCCCUCAUCUAUUCGCUACAAUGACGGGAGCCAUGCCGCCGCCACCACCGCCACCGCGAUCCCUGAAACGCCGCCGAUCUAUUCGCUACAUCGAUGGAAACCAGGCGCUAGCCACGGAUCCCUUUGCCGGCGCCGAGCAGUCAUCGAGGAGCCGGCGCCGAGGUCCUCAAGGAGGCGCCGCCGCCAUCGUUGCAGGCCUCCGGGUUGCCAUCGGGACACCGCUGCCGAGAUCCGCCUUCGCCUUCGUCCGGCAGAGGCGGCGGAAGGCAGCCGGGAGGGGAAGCGCACAACGACCCAGAAGACAUCCUCCCUCACGCGCUCAUCGUCUUGCUCGAUCUACCCGAGGGCUGCCGAUGGGCGCCUCGGCGGCGGCCACGGCGAGAUCUGCGUCUGGGACGUGACAAUCCCUCCACCCCGGUCGCCGGUGAGAUUUCACUGCCUCGAUCCUCCCGGUCCCAGUUUAUCAGGUCAUCCCUGACAAGAGGGAGCGAGAGAUGCUACUGCCGGGCACGUGGACGCACGUGGGGCGGCUGCCUGCGAGCAGGGCCGCGUCCUCUCUCCUUCGUCGACCAUGGCCUCCGAACCACUCCGUUGUACCUCUGCGCCCAAGUGUCCGCUCCUCGAUCUUCAACAGAUUUGUUAUCGCCUCUCUUCCGUUGCAGGUAGGGUACACUUGAUGUUUCAUGUUUGGUGAAAGAAAAGGAGCUUCCUAUGUUGAUUUCAGGCAAGACAUACAUUCUGCCAUGCAUUAGUAGAUCAAUUGCUUCUUUGUGUAGGGGAACGAUUAGUGAUUGAAUCUCUCUGUCUCGUUUCUUGAUUAUCCAAUUAAUUUACCCUCAUCUAUGCAUAAAUUGGUCCGAUUGAGUUAUGCCAUUUUUCUAAUAAUCUAUAUUGGUUCUAUAUAUGACUAGAACAAUAUGAUACGAUGCACAUCGGUCCGCUUUACUGGCAGCUAUCCUUCAAGAUUGAGGGGAGGCACUCUUGUAGACCUGCUCAAUGUUCGAGGAGAUACGGCUGACUAAACAAGGCUAGGCGGGGCGGUCGAUUUGCAGCGGGGCGGCGUGAGGGAUAUCUCGUUUGGAAGAGCAGGUGGAGUACAAGGUCGCGUCGAGGUCCAAUGACCGGAAUAUCGGCUCCACAGAGGACGCCAUCACAGAUCUUGCUUGCCUUAUCGUGACAUCUUCUUUGCCAUGUGCCAUGGAAGUCUUGCUGGGGCUUGGCAGCCUUGCAUGUUUAUACCUUAAACAUGUUCCAAGACUGCUCAACGACAAGUUGAAUUUUGACCCUCCCUGAAUGGUCUCUACAAGGCUACAUGGGCCAUGGGCUGAAGUAUAUCAUGAGAUUUACCCAAUCCACCUUACAUUCAACUAUGCACAAUAGCGAUGCCAUGUUUUUAAAUAAUCUAUAUAUAUGCUUCUACAUUGAAAUCCAAUUUCAUCAUAAUUUUGCUAUUUGAUAAUAGUAUAACACUGGUAGACGUAUGGGUUGUCCCUCUAAAAUUUAAGCUUCGUCUCCAUGCUUGCUUUUGUCUAUUGGUACCCUGAUUUUCUUAGAAAGGUGGUCUUGUGAUUACUGAGUUAACAGCUGCUGUCGAAAUAUUCAGAAAAUUCAGUUUUAUUUGAGUCGUAGCUGUAGUUGUUUGAACUCAGUUUCGUCAGCUUGUUUUCUUCAGUUAAACUUUAGCAGAAACAUACCAAGUUGUGACGAUGUCCUAGAUUGUUAGGAUAGAUCCUUGCAAUGAUUGGAUCGUGGGAUGGCACGGCACAACGGUCAUCACAGCGAUGAUGCAGAGAGGUGUGCAAGGAGUUCUAGGAUGGUGUCACUCACAACUCGGAUAUUUCAUGCUUUUCCGUUUUUCAGUUAGCAUUGUAAUCACUCAAUAAAUAGAGGAGGGAGAAGAAAAGCUGUAGACUGAACACAACACAAAACAUCGUCUCUCUCUCUCUCUCUGUUAGCUCUCCAAUUUAUGAAAUAUUCAGUUUUCAGUGGUUGCCCUUUUUAUAUAUUUUAUUUUAACUAAAUUCACAUCUCCAUGGUUCAGCCCGUCUUUCCGGCUUGAGGCUUAUCAAACACUUUUGGGUUCAAGAUUCAGGACAAACAAGGCAAGAUGCACAAAUUUAACUGUGGUAUGCACACUCAUUUUGGUGUCACACAACUGGAGUUAUAUCAUCGCUCUUUCUUUUCCCAUGUCAUGCCCAGUAAUUUAUACUAUUGUUCAAGCUCCAUUGAUAAAUCGAACCUACCUCAAAUUCUGUACGAAGACGAUGAUCACAAUAAAGUCAUGCUCUCAUCGGAUUCCGACCAUAUAGCAACUGUGUACCAUGCAAAGCAAAUCGCUUGGAAGGUAAUAAGAGGCAAAUUCAACCUUCACUCUACAAAAUCUGCAACACAUCAUAUUAAUUGGAAACUCAAAUCUUGAUUGCAAAAGUUAAGUCUGUGCUAUAAAUGCAGGCAAUACAAAAGGUAGGAAGAACUUAGGAAGGUUCCUUUUUUGUCCUCAUAAAGGGACAAUUUAACUAAGUUGCUCUCUGCUGGUUGUUUGAAGACAAAUUAUAAUGUGUAACCUACCAAAUACUAAAUUAAACUUUAUCCUCAGUUCCAUGAUUUUCCAUGUAGUAGUGUAUGCGGGAAUUAUAUUGAUGAUUUCAUUUUACCUUCAUAUUUGCUUAAUUUUCUUACCAAACACAAAAGCUCUAUGUCUUGAUGUGUUCAUAGAAGCGAAGAUAUAACUCAUGAUGCAAGCCUAAUACGCUGAUAAUAUUUUUAUGGUUCAAUGUUCCUAUGAGGGGAGUGGGUGGGGACGGCAAUGAGUGUCUUAACAUAUCAAGCAGUUGCCGCCUAUGAGGGGAGUGAGUGGAGAUGGCCAGAUCUGUGCGGCGGAGGGGCGAUGGAAGCUCGAAUGGAAGAUUACUCGCCAGCAUCGGAGCAAUUUAUUGGCCAGGUCAACCAUAAAGCUCCUACAUAGACAUGAAGGAUUGUCAUUAUUAAGAAGUUCAUUUUUUGGAAAUUCAGCAUGUGACACUGUAAAAAUAGAAAGAAGCUAGAAAAUUGUCUCUGGCCGAUUUCAUAUGUAUCUGUGAGCAUUGCUAAUUUCUGUCAACAUGAACGAGAUCUGGACUAUUUAUAUAGCUACCAUGUGCUCAACAAAUUGUCUGAUAAU